CCUUUAAAUUGCGGCCUUUAUGCUACACUUUCUACAGUUUCAACAUGGCAAACUAUACUAAAGGAAUGUUAUUGUUGUUCUUGCUUGUCUGCCUCGUAUCUGCAGCAAUUGCAGAUUCAAUAAAACCAAGCAUUAACGGCGGCGGCGCACCAAUAGAAAGACCACCAUAAACAUUUAAGAGCGAAACAGAAGCAAGAUAGAAACAAGAAACAAAUGGAUAAUAAAACACUUCUCUAUCCAAAUUCAUUA